rnacentral:ncRNA from 2 species
AAGAUGUUAUAUGACUGACGGAACAAGUGGAAGAACCACAUGGAGUAUAACGUAUCUAAUGCCGACCGUCUGGGCGAAUGUA